AUACCUUUCUCGGCCUUUAGGCUAAGAUCAAGUGUAGUAUCUGUUCUUAUCAGUUUAAUAUCUGAUAUGUGGGUCACCGGCUCACACGAUAUUAAAUUUAUUUCUUGAAGGGGAGAGCCCUAACAAUAGCUUGCUAUUGGAUCUCUCAUGUGUUGCCUUUGCGUUGCACUAUUGUAUUGGCUUGGCGCACCCUAC
rfam:Cicer arietinum chromosome Ca5, whole genome shotgun sequence.